ensembl:Mt_tRNA
GGUAGAGUGGCUGAGUGAGGAAGCAUUAGACUGUAAAUCUAAAGACAGAGGUAAUCUCUUUCUACCA